CUUCUCGGGGUGUAGUGGCAACGCACCUGUCUAGUGAUUAGGAGUCUUGAGUUCGAGUCUCACCGAGAGGA
rfam:Aedes albopictus isolate Foshan contig133075, whole genome shotgun sequence.